rnacentral:lncRNA from 1 species
AACGAGUUGCAGCAGAACCCAGCACCAAACGUUCUUCAACAUCCCGAUGCAGCAGAAAGUGACCAGCCAGAUGUUAAUAUUGCUGACCUAUGGAAAAAGCUUACUAGCCAAGAUGAAUCCGCAGAACUGGUCAUGGAUGAUGUCGAUGUUAACAGCCCAGACCUAGACACCAGUACAGGGUUUAAGGAGGUUGCAGACCUCAUUGCACUUACUGAGGACCCAGCGAAGUCUGAUGUACAGACGAUCGGUGCUCCUGUCAAUAUUUCAUCAAAAACUAGUAUUCCUGUUGGUGUUUAGGUAA